GGCCAAGAUAGUGUGAAGUCAAAAGCUUUAGUGCUUGUUGAUGAAACAUGAGAAUUAGAAGAAAAGAGAAGGACAAAAUAAGGAGUAAAAAACAAGCUGGAGAGUAGAAAAAAGAGUUUCACAUAAAACUGCAUACUUGAAGAAGGGAACAACGUAUGUGUUAAACAGCAUAGCUGUUUUCCAAGCCACUCAAGGUGGCUUCAAGUCUAUCAGAAGAGAAAGUCCCACCUGGCUUUCCCAGGGAGACUGGGAGCUACCGUGGAACAAGAUGGCCUCAAAGCUCAGCAAGAUAAAUAUUGUCAAAGUUUUAGCAUGUAAAUUGCUAACUUUUCAAUGUAUAAGUUAACUUACCUUGGAACUCGGAAGAAGAAAUGACACUCUGAUAUACAUCAUGGUGAUUCCUCCCUGCCCCCAUCCCAGUCCAUAUAUUUUCAGCGAUUCAUCUACCAGUAGUUAACAAUUUGGAGAUCCCGUGGUCUUAAAGAUAUACAGAAGGUCUCCUUACAACAGGGUGAGAAAGUGUACGCUUGAAGAAACGUUAAGUCUUACAAGAUGAAAGGAGAAAAUUUACCUUUAAAAAAUGGAAUAUGGGGCAUACAACAAUGUGCUUUGAAAAUGACUUCUACAUGUUUGAAGGAAACCAUUACUGUUGGCGUUCCAAGCAAGGAAGUAUUCCUGGGAAAGCAGACUGCUUCCCAGGUGAUAACAGCACAACAAUCGAAGGAAAAGGAAAAGUAACAGAUCUAAUAAAGUCCCCAUAAUAGAAUGCACGGUAAUACCAGCAAAAGCCGUUACUAUGAAAAAGACCGGGGCUAGGGUAGGGAGAGUGGACACGGGGCUUAUGUUCGCACCAAUCACCAUUAUCAGUACAAAGGGGCUGUGGACUAGGAAAAUGCAUCCGCUCCUUUUCCCAGGGCCCUAUGUACAGGGAGCCAGGUUGGGGGAUCCUGGGGAGCCUGAAGCCGGAUCUCCUAACCCUCACUAUCAGACAGAAACACAGGAGAGUCCCACACCCUAUCCCCUCAAAAUGUCAAAGAGCUCUGUAAGAAAAUCCGUGUAAAAAGUUAGUUGGCUUCAAGUAACUAAACUUAUUUUUAUUUUCCAGCCAUUGUUUUGGCAACAGAUCAAUGCAGCCAUAAUUUAUCUUUGUAGGGAGACCAACAUGGCACACUUUCACAAAGAUUUAAGGGAGCACCUUGGAAUGCAGGGCUUCUCACAUCUUCUAGUGAUUCCAUCCUUCUCACCUGUCUUGCCCCAUGGCCAUUAAAUUGAUAUGUUUUUGCCAAAUUGGUUUUUUUGGCUGUCUUAAACAAUCCCUGCCUAAUCAAUCAGACAAGCUGUGCAGUUGAUCCAAUUUGGCUGUGAAGAUGGACAAAGACACAACUCAGCUAUUUGUAUACUCUCAUAUUUUCCUGUCAGAAAUAUACAGGUGGGGACUUAUUCUCACCGAAAUAACAAAAUAAUUUUUUCCAUGAAUUAUCCCCCAAAUUGGCACCCCCAGGAACAUUCUGGCUUAGCUUUACCUGACCUGGAAACACUGACAAGCAUCAAAUUGAACUGAAAGUUAGACAGACAAGUAUUUCCAAUAUAUCUAUAGCAAGAAUUAUUUCAUUUUAAAAAGCAAGUCUUUCAGAGAAUACUGAUUCCAGUAUUCAAAGUCCUCUGCCAUAAUCACUGCUGGCAAAGUUCUCUUUCAGGAGCCUUGAUUAGUCGUUGCAUUAUUGGAAUAUGCCCCAUCAGAGUAUUUGCAUAUUUGAUUUUUUUAGUUAUUUAGAAAUACCUAAUUAUCAUAGUAUUAAUUAAUCUCAAAAAUAAUAUUAUGAAUACAUUUAAUAUUUAGGAGAAGCUUCUGUCUGCAGAACUAGAAUUAUGUAAUUUGGUUAAAAAUGUAACCUGUGCUUCAAUUCUUAUACUAAUUAACUAGCGUAAGUGAAUCACUUAGAAUGUCUCCAAGCCUCAAUUUCAUCUGUAAAAGUAAUCCUAAAAACAUUAAUGUGUCAAGUAUUUUUUAUACAAAUUAACAGGCCGGGCAUGGUGGCUCUCGCCUGUAAUCCCAGCACUUUGGGAGGCUGAGGGGGGCGGAUCAUGAGGUCAGGAGAUGGAGACCAUCUUGGCUAACAUGGUGAAACCCCAUCUCUACUAAAAAUACAAAAAAAAAAAAAAAAAAAAAAAAUUAGCCGGGCAUGGUGGUGGGCGCCUGUAGUCCCAGCUUCUUGGGAGGCUGAGACAGGAGAAUGGCGUGAACCGGGAGGUGGAGCUUGCAGUGAGCCGAGAUCGCACCACUGCACUCCAGCCUGGGCAACAGAGUGAGACUCUGUCGCAAAACAAAAAACAAACAAACAAACCAACAAAAUUAGCAGAGAUAAUAUGUGCAAAUUCAGUUUUGUAUAAUACAGCAAACUAUUCAAAUAUUAAUUAUGUUUUCCCAACAUGUUCUGACACUUUUGGGGCAAUACUGAGCCUUAUAUUUUUGUACACUAACUGCAUCACACUGAGCCUUAGAAAUUUUUAAUAAAUCCUUGUUGUAUUAACAUAUUUAGAGCAAAAAAUAGUAAUUUGCAUUUAGUUUGAAUUAAAUGUAUUUUUUAUUUGUUAUUUAAAUUUGGAUUUUUUAAAUCAAUUUAUUUAAUAGCUUUCUAAAUGCCUAAUUUUUUGAGAAUCAAUUCUCUUUCCCUUCUACAUCACACUUUCCCUUUUCUAUUCCAGGAAAAUGAAAAUAUAUUUGUGCACAUUUAUAUUGACUCGCCACUGCUUGUCUAGAUGUUUAGAAGAGCUAACUGUAAGAACAAAUAAAAAGAAAACUAGAUUAAAAUAUCAGAAAAAUAUAGAUACCUGUCCAAUUUCAUUCUAGUGAAAGUUCUUUCUAAAAAUAAAGCAGGCCAGGCAUGGUGGAUCAUGCCUGUAACCCUAGCUCUUUGAGAGGCUGAGGCGGGAGAAUUGCUUGAGCCCAAGAGUCCAAGCUGCAGUGAGCUAUGAUCACGCCACUGUACUCCAGCCUGGGCAACAGAAUGAGAUCUUGUCUCGAAAUAAAUAAAUAGAAAGAUAGGUAAAAAAUAAAUAAAAUAAAAGCAAAGGAAAUGUUAGCAUCUUAUAUAACCAUGGUAUAUUAACAAAACUAAUGAUUUAACAUUGAUACAGUAUUAAACUACAGACUGCUUUCCUAUUUCAUCACCUUUUUCACUAGCAUUUUUUUUUCUGUCCCAGAAUCCAACCCAGGUUAUCAUGGUGACUUUAGUUCUCAUUAGCUCGUUAAUGUGCUGCAAUCUGUGAAAGUUACUGUGUCUUUACUUGUCUUGGCUGACCUUUGUGCUUUUGAAGAGUACUGGUCAAGUAUUUUCUAGAAUGUCCCUCAAAUAGGCUUCCCUGAUGCUUUCUCAUGAUUAAACUGGGGUUAUAGGUUCUGGGGAAUAAAUAUCACAGAGCUCAUGCCCCAUCUCCCUGCACUAGAUCAACAAGAUUAUUACAUGUGAUGUUAACUUGUUCACUUGAUAACGUGCUGUUUCCACUGUAAAAAUAGCCUCUUCAUUAUAAUACAUUUCUCAAGAGUCAUUUCUCAUUAUACCUUCAAAAACAUCCCAGUUUGUCCCAUAGAUAAGGGUCAUAUCUCCCAUGUGCUAGCUAAAGUGCCUGGGGUAAGAAAUAAUUUGCAUUAACACUAAUAAAUUCAUUCAGAUUAUUAAACUCAUGGUUUACAAUGUGUUGGCCAACAGAAACAGAUACACAGUCAGAAAAAUUUUUCAGAACACAAUUUCCAAAAAUUUUCCAAAUUUAUAGAACUGUAUAAUACAUUUUGAAGAAAAAUAAUAAUCAAACCACAAGGGAUCUUAAGGAAGAAAAUCUGAUAGACAGUUUAAGAAAGUUUUGGGCCUGGGAUUCUACUUCUAGGAAUCUAAUCUGCAGAAAGAGUCCAAUGUGUGUAAAUAUAUAACCACAUGGUUAGUUAACACAGCAUUGUGGAAUACGCACAUUUGUUAAAAACCGAAAACAAAAAUAAGAUUGGAAAGAUCUCCAAGACAUUACUGAAUAAAAGACAGGAAAGUGUAGAACAA
rnacentral:lncRNA from 10 species